rnacentral:rRNA from 1 species
GGGCAGCGGGGAAAAGCUUGCUUUUCCGCCGGCGACCGGCGCACGGGUGCGCACCGCGUAUGGAACCUGCCUUGUACAGGGGAAUAGCCCAGGGAAACUUGGAUUAAUGCCCCGUAGUACCGUAUUUCGGCAUCGUUAUACGGUUAAAGCCUUCGGGCGGUACAAGAUGGCCAUGCGUCCCAUUAGCUUGUUGGUAAGGUAACGGCUUACCAAGGCUACSAUGGGUAGGGGCCCUGAGAGGGGGAUCCCCCACACUGGUACUGAGACACGGACCAGACUCCUACGGGAGGCAGCAGUGAGGAAUAUUGGACAAUGGAGGAGACUCUGAUCCAGCCAUGCCGCGUGCAGGAAGAAUGCCCUAUGGGUAGUAAACUGCUUUUAUACGGGAAGAAAAAGAGCUACGUGUAGCUUACUGACGGUACCGUAAGAAUAAGGACCGGCUAACUCCGUGCCAGCAGCCGCGGUAAUACGGAGGGUCCGAGCGUUAUCCGGAAUUAUUGGGUUUAAAGGGUCCGUAGGCGGGCCGAUAAGUCAGGGGUGAAAGUCUGCCGCUCAACGGUAGAACUGCCUUUGAUACUGUCGGUCUUGAGUUAUAGUGAAGUUGCCGGAAUAUGUAGUGUAGCGGUGAAAUGCAUAGAUAUUACAUAGAACACCGAUUGCGAAGGCAGGUGACUAACUAUAUACUGACGCUGAUGGACGAAAGCGUGGGGAGCGAACAGGAUUAGAUACCCUGGUAGUCCACGCCGUAAACGAUGGAUACUAGCUGUCCGGGGCCUUGAGUUCUGGGCGGCCAAGCGAAAGUGAUAAGUAUCCCACCUGGGGAGUA